rnacentral:lncRNA from 1 species
UUCUUUUUUUUUUUUGCCUCUUGAUCUUUAUUUUUGUUUCUUUAAAUUACAACAAAAUUUAUUCCAGCAUAUCCAAUAAAUCAAAAUUCAAACACGUCACCUACCAAUAAGUGAUCAUAGGUCCACGUAUAAUCGAAGCUCCCUUACCCCCCUCUCUAUGGGAGGAUUAGUAACUGAUCCCUUGCUGUAAUUAAUUCCCCUCCUUAUUCUAGUUACCUCAACUAUCAAAAUGCAUUUAUUCCCCGUAAAAGAUCCAUUCACAACCAAUAAUCUUUAAAAUCUGAGCUACUAAUGUUUUUCCUAGGAUGUUACACCUUCCUAAUGAAGAUUUGACAUCGUUACAUAUGAUUGUAAGCCAGCAAUCUUGUUGGAGGCCAAGACAGUUAAUACUUUAGUUCUAGAGAAAACUACCCCAUAAGACUGUCAAUGGUCGUCUAUAAAAUCAAUGCCAAAGUCCCCGCUAUACAAGUUGUUGAGCAAUUUAUCCAAUUGAAGAAUAUGGGGUUCAGUCUCUGAUUUUUUCCUAAAGGACACAGGAAAAACUCCGAUUCCGAUUUUUGGGGAAUACAUUGUUGCCAAAGAAGCGGGCAAGACCCUUUCAAAGUGUUCUUUGAAAUCCAAUCAGCGACUCGAUUACCAGUUCUAUCAACAUGCGAAAAAUAAAUAUCAGUAUUGGAUGUCCAUGAUAAAAUAUCUUCAAUAAUUAUAGACACAUCACACAUCCCAGGGAAUCUUCCUGUGCUUACCAUGGAUCAUGUUCAUAGCUUUCACGCAGUCAGACUCUAGGAUCACAUGUUACCAGCAAUUGCGAUUGAUGAGGACCGAACCUAACCUAAUCGUCCAGGUUUCGCUACGAACGCACUCGCUGAGUAUGUUUGUGCGUUGAUUCUGUCAAGAGAUUGCUAUUCCUUGCAACAGCCUCAUGACCAGCAGAUUUUAAGCUGACCAGCCGCAAAAGACAAAAACAGAGCAGAAAACAGCAGCAGGGAUACAGAAGCCAAACCAAAUCAAGCAAAAAACAGAGCAGAAAGACAAGAAGCCCUCACUCCAAGACCACUCCGAAAAGCAGAUAAACAUGAACAAAAACAGGGUGAACGAAAUCAAGAGAGUCGAGGGACAAAACUUACCUCAAAACCUCUGAACCAGAAAACGCGAGAAAGAAACCCCAAACUGGAAAAACAAAGCUGUAGACGCUCAGUAGAGAGAAAAAAAGUUCUACUCAAGGGAGAGAAAAUGGGGAGAAUCCCACCGGCGGGGAUGGAGAAAAUCGACCUUAUGAGUGGCGAUUUGUAAUAUUAUUUUUAAACCAUAAAUCGGGUUUGGUCUCUGAUUAUGACAAACAUCAGCACUGUCAGCUAUCAAGCGCAGGUGAAUGGUGACAAAGCAAGAGAGGUCUCAGACAAGGGAAUCAUCUUUAUUCUUGCUCAAAAUUCACUUCCCUUACCACUUCUGAAAACCGAAGCAACGGAGAUUCCUGGUAUGAAAAUUAGAAGGAAUACUCGGGUAAUAUCACAUUUUGUCUUUGCUGCUGAUGAUGUUUACAUUCUUUUCAGAUCUAAUGUCAUACUUGAUACUUGGCACAAGAGCUUUCAGGUUGCCACCCAAAGUCCCAAAAACAAUGACCUUAAAAAAAAUGGUACAAGAUCUAUACGACCCUCAAGGAAAGUUAUCUGGAGUGUCCUCGUUUAAAACUCAACGACAGUGUUCAUUAAUGAUUUUUACGAGUCGUAAAUUGACGAUGCCACGUUAGCAAGACACAUCGUCGAAAUCCUCUGGAAGGAUUUUCUUUUGAUUAUUGAUUUUACCUGUUUGUUUGUUUGAUUAUUGAUUUUCUUUAGUAGUACAGACAGAUGGGCCUCACUGAAAUUGUCCAACGAGAUAUGAGGUUUUGAUUCCGAAAACCCAACAGGAACGGGUCAAA